ACACACACUCACACACACACACUCACACACACCCACACACACACACACACACACUCACACUCACACUUACAACAGCACAGGAGACAGAACUACAGUAAGAGCCACACACACACACACACACACACACACACUCACACUCACACACACACACACACAGCUACAACAGCACAGGAGACAGAACUAGAGUAAGAGCCACACACACACACUCACACACACACACACACACACACACACACACACACACACACAAAUUCACACUUUUAUCACACAUACAGUAGAUACAGUGACACAUCCCGCAACAUGCUGAUGUUUCUGUGUGUGCGUGUUUGCGUGUGUGCGUGUUUGCGUGUGUGUGUACAUGUGUGUGUGUGUGUGUGUGUGUGUCAUGUGAUAAUCAUCUCCCCCUGGCGGGGACCAGCAGUGUAAGGAGCCCCAGUCUUGCCCAGACUUGGACCCCGGGGCCUCGGCAGCUAAGGCGGAGCUCGUGAUCCAGUGGCACCGUCCUGCUCUGGACCCCAGCGUGACCACUCAGAACCAGGGGCAGAUCCUGAUGUACUACGGCCUGAACCAGACGCCUCUGUCAGCUGGGACCCCCUUACUCACUGCAGUGGAGGAGCUCAGGGUCGGGCAGCGCUUAGUCUGCCUGGAGAAGCUCAGGGCGGUGCAUGCCCAGCUGAGUGCUGCGUGUGCGGACCUGAACGAGCCCGCCGCGGCCCCCUCCACCACCCCUACACCCACCCCCACCCCCAAGAAGAAACGUCCCAUGAAAGCUGACACAGCUAACUGCCCCAAACAACAGAUGCUGCUGGAGAAGACCAGACUCUGCUGUACUGAGAUCAGGAGACUGCUCCAUCCCCAGUCAAAGUCUGGAAGGCUCUCUGCUGUAGGGGUCAGGGGUCAUAUAGGGUCUUCACCCAUGGCUGAGGUGCCAUUUGAGGUGAGUCUACAGACCCUCCGUGAGCUGGAGCUCUGCUUCAACCCCGUCCAGGGGGCCGCUCUGGCCAACAAGGCGCUGGUCAAGUGGCUCCUGUCCCUACUGGCCCCUGCGGAGGGGAUCUAGGGGCCCCCUCAGCCCACACACAGGUGCUCUCCGCUGAACCCCCACACCCGUAACACACUCGGUGGUGCUGGGGGCCCAAAGGGCUUAGGCUGAGCGAGGAGGGGAGUCCCACAGCAGCGUGGUUCAGUUGUCUGUUAAUGUCUAUGCAAUAAAGAUGAAUGAUUUGACA
rnacentral:lncRNA from 1 species